CUGGUUCGAAUAAGGCUAUUACGAAAAAGAUAUGUCGAAAGGAGUCGAAGUUAUUUUUGGCGAAAUGUAUGGCUAGUUUACAUUGUUCCUUAUAUAAUGAAUUAUAAUACCAUACCUAAUACUUGUGUUAAAAUUAGCGUCAUACUAUAAUGUUAUUGUACUAGGCAAAUGAGAACCACACAAUAAAUGUUUUAGUUCUUGUUGGUAAUUUGAACGCACGCUAUAUCUUUACUACCACAAAGCAAUUCGCGCGGAUUAUAUUUCGCGCAGUACUAACAUUUGCGCACCCAUCGCUGCGCGAAUUCUAGUACUGCGCGAAUUUUAAUACAUGAAAGGUAUAUUGUGGACAUUUGGUUAGGAAUUUGGAGAUUUUGUUUCACUGAAUCGAAUGGUAAAAUACAGAAACUACAGAACCGAGCAGUAAGAGUCAUUACGAGGUCGCACUAUGAUGCAAGCGCUAGUUCUCUUUUGAAUAAUUUGCACCUAGGCAAUCUUUGUUUACGACGCAAAAAGAUUAAGGCUAGACUAAUGUUUAACAUAGUCAAUGGUGAUGCACCAUCUUAC